UACGAAGGGGGCUAGCGUUGCUCGGAAUUACUGGGCGUAAAGCGCACGUAGGCGGACUCUUAAGUCGGGGGUGAAAGCCCAGGGCUCAACCCUGGAACUGCCUUCGAUACUGGGAGUCUCGAGUCCGGGAGAGGUGAGUGGAAUUCCUAGUGUAGAGGUGAAAUUCGUAGAUAUUAGGAAGAACACCAGUGGCGAAGGCGGCUCACUGGCCCGGUACUGACGCUGAGGCGCGAAAGCGUGGGGAGCAAACAGG
rnacentral:rRNA from 1 species